GUAAGUCCUUGUAGCAAAAAAAUAUUUUUGGCUGGAUCAAAUAUUAAACCUGCUACUACAAAUUUCACGCUUUGCAUUCCUAAAGCAGAUGCCAAGUGACGAUGCCAAAAAUUAAUUGGAAAUAAUAGUGCUUGCCUUGUGUGCCGCAUCCAGCAGAGGGCACAACGGAUAAGUAAUGCGCGCCGUGCGGAACACGCCGCUGAUAAGGCUGUUGGUAAUUGCUUCGGUAAAAAUAUGUAGCAACAUGCUUGUGUGCUUAUUUACAUCUGGGGAUGUGCGCUGGAAUGGAGGGCUUAGAUUUGUAACUGUCCCCCCUACGCCCCGUUGACACAAAGGAGACUUUUUAGGUGUGAUCGCUUUCUCUUUUCAGGGGGGGAAUGUUGGAUUGUUGGGUUUGCUGCAUAAAGUACAGGGAACAGUUUUGGUGUUAUCUUGAAUUCAAAAUUCCAACCUUGACUGCUAAUAAGGAGGUGGUGCAUCUCACAGAGGAGUGUUUUCCAGCAAUAAUUUUGCACAGAUUGCCAUGGGAUGCCCCUGAUGUUGCUGAUCUCUUACUCCUGCCCUACUGGUGAGGUUCAGGAUGGAAACGCUUUUAUGGCUGAGUUGGACAGUGCCUCCAGAAGAGCCAAGGACUCCAGGCCAGCACUGACUCAGGACAGUCUCCGCUGUUGGCUGUGCUAGGACCCAUCUUUCAUAAAGAGUUUGGAGAGGAACAGACCCGAGACCGGCUUCAGUCUUGGCCCAUCAUUUCAGUACAAAGCACUUUUUGCAUAGUCCUUGCAGUUGCUCGGCCUUGGUUGUGCUGGCUUUUGCACCUCUUUGAACUUAAAUACAAAAUGAGCAUUGGUUUUGGAGAGGGAAUUUGGAUGCUUAGUUUUUCUUGUGUUACUUCUUUCGCAGUGGAGCCUGCUGAGAUAGAGCUUCCAGCCUUUGGGCACUGUGUGGCCCUUGCAGAGGAGAGCUUGGGCCGCAAAGAUUGGUGAUCAAGGGAGAUAGAUAGGAUGGAUGGAAGGAACCCAUUGGACUGUGGUUGGUUGCUCAAGGAGGAAAGUGGCUGCGGAGCCAUGGAGCGUCAAGCGUGAGAUCUGUGAUGUUCUGCUUUCAGCUAUCUCUACUUCCUCAUCACAGAGCAGGCAGCUUUUGGUUUGUGUUUUUUCUUUUUCUUUUCCUUUUUUUUUUCCUAUGCUAUAUUUGCACACAAUUAUAGCAAGAUGCAAAUUAAGACCUCUCCAACCCCAUUUGUCAUUCUUUCUACCUGAUGAACUUCAUGUCAUUAAAAUGAGGACGAGGUGCCCAGAACCUGCCAAUUUCCACUGCAGAUCAGUUGUCAGAAAGCAAAAGCUUCUGUUCCUUUUCUUCAGACGGAUAAGUGAAAUGUGCAAGAGACCAUAAAUGAAGCUGAAAUAAUGGAAGAUCACUCAAAAAUUCUCCACGCUUUGGAAAGACUUAUACUCACAUUUGUAACGCUGAAGAAAGGAGAAUGCUAUGUAAGAAACAGGUUGCAGAAUAAGGACUUCUAUGUCUUAGUCCUAUCACUGCUCUAAACUUCCUGAAAAAAGAGCCCUUACUGGCUGGUCUCUUUCCAGUGAAAUGAAAUUCCUUGUCCCCACUCCAGCAGAGCCACUUGGAGACAGCUUGUGAAAGGCAUUUCUGUCUGUGCAUGCAUGGUGCUGCUGCAUGCCUGGUUUGUGAACAGAAAGGGAAAUGCUUGGAUGGGCUUCCUAAAGAAAACAAAUUAAAAAAAAACACGGUGCAGAGCUCUGAGAGCUGUGACUCCCUGGGCACAGAGAUGGUGUCCUUGCAGGAAGGGUGAUGGGAGCACUCACUGGCCCCACUGGUGCCCCAAAGUGGGAGCACAGAGCCAGUCCUGCUGCUUAGCACAUCUCUGCGAUUUAAGGGUAGUCGAGAGGGAGCUCAGCAGCAGUUUGUUUUUCUCUCCUGACUUUGUCCCAUUGCUGGGGUAUUUUGCUGAUGUGCUGGAGGAUGCUAACACCUUGAUGGGCCCCAUCUGUUCCAGCGAGGAGAGUACAGCUGAAUGCUUCGAGGGUGCCCGGGUGCAGCUUGGGAACGCUCCUUGCUUUAUCCAUGGUGAAGCAGUUGGCAUCGGCCAAGCUCCCUGGCACCCGGAGGGGGGAAAUCCUGAGGUAAAUUCGAGUAGACAUGAUGUUAGAAAAGAACUAACCGUUAGGGCACGCCGGGGUCGCCAGGUCUCCCAGCAGGGACAGGUGCCUGCCACUCCGUGCAUGGCCGGCAGCCAAGGACUUAGCGGUGGGACUCAUGCCAGUCACGCAUGAAGAGCAGACACAAGGCUGGAGCUGGAGACAAUGAGUAGUUUCCUCCGCUUCUCCCUGCCUCACUGGUG
ensembl:lncRNA